UUGCCCAGGUCUGCCUUAGGAGAGAGGCAGCCUAGAAAGAAAAAAAUAAAAUAAAAUCUGUGGUGGCAUAGCCGGUGAACUCUGCUCAUGCUCAGAUACUCUUUACUAGGGCUUUGUAUAUUUCAGACUGGAGGCUUGGAAAGACAGAAGAGCGGAAAGGCGAGGCGAUUUGAGGAGCGAAUCGAGGAAUGUAAUACGUUCGGCUAAUGAGUGGAUUGGUUUAUAUGCUUGCCAGCCAGGAUGCCUCAUAGAUAAUUUGCAAUGCACCAGAUGCAUCAAGAACCAAGGAAAAUGAGGUAUGCAUGUGGGGAAAGAGGGAGCUGAAGACAAGGUGGAGGUCCUGGAAGCCUUCUCCGUCGGCCCUCGGAUUCCAAACAUAGCUUUUCCCCAGCGGUACAUCUGGAAGCAUCCUGCAGAUGCCGCUUCCUCAAUCUAUCUGACCUCUAACCGUGAGUCGUCUUGAAGACUUUCCGUCUGGGAUGGUUUCCAACUCCGGGAGGAAAGUCUGAGCAAAAUUGAGCCUCUGCCAACU
rnacentral:lncRNA from 1 species